CUUGCUUCUCUUGAGAGCGGCGGACGGGUGAGUAAUGCCUAGGAAUCUGCCUGGUAGUGGGGGAUAACGUCCGGAAACGGACGCUAAUACCGCAUACGUCCUACGGGAGAAAGCAGGGGACCUUCGGGCCUUGCGCUAUCAGAUGAGCCUAGGUCGGAUUAGCUAGUUGGUGGGGUAAUGGCUCACCAAGGCGACGAUCCGUAACUGGUCUGAGAGGAUGAUCAGUCACACUGGAACUGAGACACGGUCCAGACUCCUACGGGAGGCAGCAGUGGGGAAUAUUGGACAAUGGGCGAAAGCCUGAUCCAGCCAUGCCGCGUGUGUGAAGAAGGUCUUCGGAUUGUAAAGCACUUUAAGUUGGGAGGAAGGGCAGUAAAUUAAUACUUUGCUGUUUUGACGUUACCGACAGAAUAAGCACCGGCUAACUCUGUGCCAGCAGCCGCGGUAAUACAGAGGGUGCAAGCGUUAAUCGGAAUUACUGGGCGUAAAGCGCGCGUAGGUGGUUCGUUAAGUUGGAUGUGAAAUCCCCGGGCUCAACCUGGGAACUGCAUUCAAAACUGACGAGCUAGAGUAUGGUAGAGGGUGGUGGAAUUUCCUGUGUAGCGGUGAAAUGCGUAGAUAUAGGAAGGAACACCAGUGGCGAAAGCGACCACCUGGACUGAUACUGACACUG
rnacentral:rRNA from 1 species